GAUGAACGCUGGCGGCGUGCCUAAUACAUGCAAGUCGAGCGAACAGACGAGGAGCUUGCUCCUCUGACGUUAGCGGCGGACGGGUGAGUAACACGUGGAUAACCUACCUAUAAGACUGGGAUAACUUCGGGAAACCGGAGCUAAUACCGGAUAAUAUAUUGAACCGCAUGGUUCAAUAGUGAAAGACGGUUUUGCUGUCACUUAUAGAUGGAUCCGCGCCGCAUUAGCUAGUUGGUAAGGUAACGGCUUACCAAGGCAACGAUGCGUAGCCGAACUGAGAGGGUGAUCGGCCACACGGGAACUGAGACACGGUCCAGACUCCUACGGGAGGCAGCAGUAGGGAAUCUUCCGCAAUGGGCGAAAGCUUGACGGAGCAAAGCCGCGUGAGUGAUGAAGGUCUUCGGAUCGUAAAACUCUGUUAUUAGGGAAGAACAAAUGUGUAAGUAACUAUGCACGUCUUGACGGUACCUAAUCAGAAAGCCACGGCUAACUACGUG
rnacentral:rRNA from 1 species